rnacentral:rRNA from 1 species
GAUGAACGCUGGCGGCGUGCCUAAUACAUGCAAGUCGAGCGAACGGACGAGAAGCUUGCUUCUCUGAUGUUAGCGGCGGACGGGUGAGUAACACGUGGAUAACCUACCUAUAAGACUGGGAUAACUUCGGGAAACCGGAGCUAAUACCGGAUAAUAUUUUGAACCGCAUGGUUCAAAAGUGAAAGACGGUCUUGCUGUCACUUAUAGAUGGAUCCGCGCUGUAUUAGCUAGUUGGUAAGGUAACGGCUUACCAGGGCAACGAUGCAUAGCCGACCUGAGAGGGUGAUCGGCCACACUGGAACUGAGACACGGUCCAGACUCCUACGGGAGGCAGCAGUAGGGAAUCUUCCGCAAUGGGCGAAAGCCUGACGGAGCAACGCCGCGUGAGUGAUGAAGGUCUUCGGAUCGUAAAACUCUGUUAUUAGGGAAGAACAUAUGUGUAAGUAACUGUGCACAUCUUGACGGUACCUAAUCAGAAAGCCACGGCUAACUACGUG